GGUGGCUCAGCAGUAGAGCACUUGCCUUGCAUGCAUGAAGCCCUGGGUUCGAUUCCUCAGCACCA
rnacentral:tRNA from 1 species